rnacentral:rRNA from 1 species
AUUGAACGCUGGCGGCAGGCCUAACACAUGCAAGUCGGGCGAGUGGCGGACGGGUGAGUAAUGUAUGCGGAUCUGCCUGCUGGCUGGGGAUAACUACUGGAAACGGUAGCUAAUACCGCAUACCAUCAUAUGAACCCUUAUGGGAUUGGCUAGUAGGUGGGGUAACGGCUAACCUAGACCACGAUCCCUAGCUGGUCUGAGAGGAUGAUCAGCCACACUGGGACUGAGACACGGCCCAGACUCCUACGGGAGGCAGCAGUGGGGAAUAUUGCACAAUGGGCGCAAGCCUGAUGCAGCCAGGCCGCGUGUAUGAAGAAGGCCUUCGGGUUGUAAAGUACUUUCAGUCGGGAGGCGUUACCGACAGAAGAAGCACCGGCUAACUCCGUGCCAGCAGCCGCGGUAAUUC